CGACUAAGCCAUGCGAGUCAUGGGGCGCCUUGCGCGCACCGGCGGACGGCUCAGUAACACGUCGGUAACCUACCCUCGGGAGGGGGAUAACCCCGGGAAACUGGGGCUAAUCCCCCAUAGGCCUGAGGUACUGGAAGGUCCUCAGGCCGAAAGGGGCUUCGGCCCGCCCGAGGAUGGGCCGGCGGCCGAUUAGGUAGUUGGUGGGGUAACGGCCCACCAAGCCGAAGAUCGGUACGGGCCAUGAGAGUGGGAGCCCGGAGAUGGACACUGAGACACGGGUCCAGGCCCUACGGGGCGCAGCAGGCGCGAAACCUCCGCAAUGCGGGAAACCGCGACGGGGGGACCCCCAGUGCCGUGGCAUCGCCACGGCUUUUCCGGAGUGUAAAGAGCUCCGGGAAUAAGGGCUGGGCAAGGCCGGUGGCAGCCGCCGCGGUAAUACCGGCGGCCCGAGUGGUGGCCGCUAUUAUUGGGCCUAAAGCGUCCGUAGCCGGGCCCGUAAGUCCCUGGCGAAAUCCCACGGCUCAACCGUGGGGCUUGCUGGGGAUACUGCGGGCCUUGGGACCGGGAGAGGCCGGGGGUACCCCUGGGGUAGGGGUGAAAUCCUAUAAUCCCAGGGGGACCGCCAGUGGCGAAGGCGCCCGGCUGGAACGGGUCCGACGGUGAGGGACGAAGGCCAGGGGAGCGAACCGGAUUAGAUACCCGGGUAGUCCUGGCUGUAAAGGAUGCGGGCUAGGUGUCGGGCGAGCUU
rnacentral:rRNA from 1 species